UGGGGUAUGGGGUAAUUGGCAGCCCGCAAGCCUUUGGUGCUUCGCAGUCCAGGUUCGAGUCCUGGUACCCCAG
rnacentral:tRNA from 1 species